CUCUAGGGAGCACCACAGGGAAUGAACCUCUGGGGCUUGCCCUGUCUCUGAGGGCAGACACUGAACUUCAGGAAUAGAAGAGGAACCUGCCCUGAACCUGAGGAAAUAAUCAGACAGUAAUGUAAUUGAUGACAUUGAGGAAAACCGGAUCCCUUCUCUGAGUGGAAGUACAGUAAAGGACCUUUGGAAAUAAUGAAAUACAAGACCUCACUAUAGUAUCUGCUAUUAAAUCUUUGAGAGAUGAGGAGAAUCCACCAAUUUUUUUUGGCUCAAAUUUUAAAGUGGGUGAUUUGGCAAAGUGCAGAUUGGAGGUGGCCGUUAAACCGUGGAGACUUCUUAUAACAAAAAAUAGACACACACGAAGGAGUAAUCUGGAAAAGUAGAUGGGACAACGCUCCGGGAAUCAGCUGAUGGCCUCUCCUGGUGGUAAAUUGGAAUUGGCAGGAGCCGAUGGAAUGUAUUGCUCUCUGGAUAUGAAGAUACAGGUGGCAGAAGAUCAGGAUUCUUUUCUACCAGGUUCAUAACCUGUGUUGUAUUUGCCCCUGUUCUCGGACAGUAAUCUUCCCACUGCCAUUCGGGGCCUCAAAACCUCACCGCUGGGCUAUUGUAAAUCCCUCUUGUUCAGACUGCCAAAGGAUUCUAUCCCUUGCAGCUAGUGCUGAAUGUGGCAGCACACUUCCUCACUGGAGUGAGUAUUUAUCAAUAUAUUAAGUCUAGUUUUGCUCACGAUUGCUAUAAAAAUCCGGAGUAAUUUCACUGAACUCAGUGUAGCUAUAGAUAUGUAUAACUGCUGCAAGUAAGAAAAUAAUCGUGCCCAUUACACAUACCCUGCAUUCAUUUUGACAGAUGACAGCAAAUAAUGUACCUGGAAGAAUUCCAGCCCAGUCAUUCAGACAAGCAUGCCACUUUUGAGUGU